CUUGUCCAGAUGGAGUGGCCGAGCCAGCGUUCAAACCCAGAUCAGCUAACCCCAGAGGCUGCACCGUUAACCUCCACUCUGUGCUCAACAGGUCUAAAAAAAGAGGUUGUCUCCAAAGCUUUGAGGGAAACCAGCAUUCUCUAAUUCCCAUAGAGACCCAGAAAGUGUCCUCCCUGUGGGUUUACAUAAGCCCUUGCUCUUUGGCUGGAGUACAAGUCUCCUUCGAUGUAACACAGGAGAGUCCAUUUUAUAAGGAUCUGCUUGAAGUUUCACGGCCCUGAGACCUUCAAGUGAUCACAGGUCAUAGUCUCCCAAAUAAUUUGUAACUACAAGAUACACAGGGAGGAGGAGGCAUGCUCAUAGAAGGCCCCAUCUUGAGUGACAGGACCAUGAGACAACCUGAACUCCUAGUGUCUAUUGGGCACUUAAAAUGGACCAACUUGGACUGCAGCUGAAUCGCAAGGGAAAAUACACCAAGAAAUGGAAAGGAUGUUGCAAUGGAUCUUCUCUCAUUUGUCUUGUUUGUUCAAAGUUUAUCACACUUUUUUCUUUUAUGGAAACAGGUUUUCGGCUUCACUGUAGCUACCCCUUCCCUUCACAUCACCAGGGCAUCAAAGUGAGAUUCCUGGAGGUGAGAGUUGAGCUUCUGCCCUAGGUGGGCAGCAUGAUUACAUCAGAGCAGUCAGCUACAGAGCAGGUGCCAGGGGAACUGGAAGCCAGAGCUUGGUGUUUCUUUCUGAAAGAACCUGCUUUCAGAUACCAGGUCACUUAGUAGACGAUCAACUUACACUGUUUGGAUGCUGCAAACAAGAUCAAUUUCAUGUUCGGCCAUUGCCUUUUCUUUGAGCAGCCCUGCUCCAGCCCUGAAUCAUCAUCCAUCCACAAGCUGACUUCAACCUGAUCAGCCUUAUGCUAACAUAUUCUUACACCUAGUCUUACAAAACUAAUUUAUUUUUGCUUUUCACUCCCCACCUUUAAUUUUUCCCCAGAUAGUCAAGACAAGGAUUGCCUUCCUGGUUAUGUCUCUUUUAGCUAGGUGAACUUGUACAAAUCACAUAUUAUCUCUGAGCUGUAGUUUUCAUGUGAAAGAAAAAAAAAAGAAGGAAAAAAUGUUUGCUUUAAAGAACUAUUCUAGGAAUCAAAUAAGAUAUUUUUUCUGAAAAUGUUUUAAUGAGUGACACAAAAUGGAUAUAUGUCUCCCACAACUAGGGCUACUCCCUCAUCUAGGCAGGCAACCUCCUCCAUGUGCUAUCUCAAAAUACCCCCAAUAAACCUAUCUUUCAUGGCAUCCACAGGAGCUAUAUUUUCUCCUAUGAAUGUCCUGCCUGUGAGUAUGCAGAAUGGAGUCCAAAUACUAAUUUAUUCAGAUUUUGUAAAUUUCUUUACUUAGUUUCAUUAGGAAAUAUCUUCCCGGAGCUAAAACUACAUCUUCACAAGCACUCACGGGGCCUUUCACUUUGGUCCUAUGAUAACCAAGAGAUCUGAGCCCCAUUUUAACUAGCAUAAGCCUGUGCUUAGGUUAGUAACAAUGCAAUUGGAAGAUGUAGAAAAUUAGGAAUCAUAUUAUUAUAACCCAGAAUAUUGAAGAGAAAUAUUGUGAUCAUGCUUAAUGGUUGAAAGAAUGCUUUUUGGAGAGUAAAGAGUCAAGUCCCUCCCCUGCCUGAGCUAUCAUGCCAGCCGUCAUGGUCCCCUCUUGCUGCUGUUAGCCUCUCAUAAUGUAAAACAUUUCUUCAUUUCCAGCAGAUAAUACUUUCAGUGAAAAGGUAAUUUUUGAAGUCUAUUACUUGCAUUCUUAGUGAAGAGCACAAUGUAGCAUUUUGUUCUAAUAUGCCAUUGAAAUUGUUGGAGUAGGUACACCAUGGAAUCAAAUACAAAAUGUCAAAAUGGUUUCCAUUAACUAUGCACAUUUGCACUGCUUCGGUUAAUGGCCAUGUUUUUGUUCCUUUCCUUCAUCUUCACAUCUAUAAGAUGAAAUGAUUCAGUUGAUGUAACUGAAAAGUACACUGAAAAGGUAGAGAGGAAAUCACAAAAGCAUCAAGCCACAAUGCCACCCACAUACUUUAUUUCAUAAUGAAGUUUAAUAAUGAUAGAAACUGUCGUUGGAUUUAAACAUCAGUCAUUUCAGCAAUUGUAGUUAAUGUGAAUCUCUCAUACCGAGUGAUGUUUUAGAAAAACAUGGCAGGGAUUGUGUAUUAUAUUGAACUGAAAUGUCAUAAUGAAAUCUUAACUAGGUGCUAUUAUUGUAAUACAUAUUAUGUUAAGAGAAAUUUACUUCAACCUGGAAAGAUAAAAUAAGUAGUGUUUCUUUCAACAACAUAAAUUCAGAAAAAAAAAUCAUUUUACUUUAAAAGAAAGUUUUCUUUGCAUGUUUUUUAGACUGAACAUGAACAUACAUAUGCACCCAUUACUUAUGACAGUAGGUGCUGUGCGAUGUAUCUUGAAGGAAAAUACACAACAAAAAUAUCAUUAUUCAAUUUUCUUUGACACAAAAUUAUCUCCAGAAAGAAAUCUGUGAUUCAUAAGAAUUAUAGGUCUUAUUUUUUUAAAUACAAAUACUAUCUGAGUUAGUCCUUUAAUCUGUCUUGAAUAGAAAAGGAUAAUCCUAAUGGUAAAACACUAGAUCUAAUCCUUCAUAAACUCUCUCAUGCUGAGGUUAAGCCCUCAAUGCCAGGAAGCCUGACUGAGGCCACCACAUUUGCUGAGUCAUUCAGCUGCAACUUGCUGUCUUUGCUGUGCUCUCUGAUAGUAUGGGUCCUGCUGAUGUCUGCAAAAGACAGGCAACGACAUCAAAGGAGAGCAACACCUGAAAACGUGCAUUUUCUGCUGCCUACCCACUUUCCACCCCACUACAACAGGCUGGGCCCACAUCAAAAAGGUUUAGUAAACCUCUAAAAGUGCAGAGGAACUUUUCACAACUUCAGGCUCGCUCGCUGGUUGAAGAAAAGAGAACCAAGUUCAUUUUUCACUUCUGAGUAUCAUGUCCUCUUCCUUGCUGUAGGAAAAAGGAUGAGAAAGAAGCUAAGUGGCUUUCCAUAGCAUAGUGUCUCCCCGGAGUCCACAGCACAUAUCAGGAGGUUAAGAGCAACUGACCAAAGCAACAAAUCCUUGCACCCUGCUUACAUGGCCACUUGGUUAGGACUCUGGCGAAAGCUGGGAUUUCCAAGAUGGCCUCUCAUGCUCAAGGACUUCUCUCUACAUGGUCCAUCACUAUUCAAAUCUUGCACAAGCUUCAAUACAGCAUGGCAAGUGGCCGCUGAAAUAGCAGCUCAUCCAAGUGGACAAGCCCAUUGUUCAAGGGUGAUAAAAGCCUCCUCUUGAAUCACACUUGCUAAUAUUCCAUUGGCCUAGACGCUCCAUGGGAGAGGAACUACAUAUAAGCAACUGGACAGUCCACCACACAAAUAUAAAAGGAUCCAAGCACAAUGUCAGAAAGCUCUCCCAGUAUGAUUUACAUUAGAAACCUCAUAAAUCUACAUUUCUUUUCUCAGAAAAUCAUAAAUAAAACAAAUGGUGCUGACACAUCUUGUAAAACGUCAGAAAAAUAGACCAUCCAGUUGUUUCCCUGAGCGCUUUGCAUAGAAAGGCACAACCCAGGCUGUGGCCCUAGAAUUUUGGGAACUAAAACUCAACAUGUUAAGGACACCCAUGGUUAAGCAAGCUAAAAGAGAGGACUAGCAAUAAAUAAACUUUAAAAGGAAAUUUUCAGAACCAGAUGUAAAUUUAGUCGUUUACAAAGACAGGCCUACCUGGUGUACGAAUGGAAGCUACUUUUAAACUCAACCCUUGUAAAUAAAUCCUCCAGGACAACAAAUUAUAAAGGCAGUAGUUUCUUUAUGAACACAAAUUUGGAAGAAAGGAAACUGGAUAUUCUCAAGGGAUAUUUCCAUUAAGGCCUGAUGAAUUGUCCUUCUCUGUUCUACAAACAUCGCUAUUUUAAGAACUGACUCAGUUGUGUUCAAUUACAGUAACAUUGCCUCUUAACAAGACUAGAAAAAUACUGACCAAACAUUAUUUCCACUAGCCAAGAUUAUGAACAGGAUAAAGGAGAAAAGUUAACACUUUUUCUCAACAUCUUGUGUUGCAUCAAGACAGUCAUUUUUCUUCAUGCAAGAUAAUAAUCAUAGUAUUGAUGCCUAACCCAGUAAGCAUUGUUGACACAUGAUGUUGAUUCAGUAAUGAGUGCACUUCCAUUUUUAAUCUGAUAAUCCCCAUGGCUAACAGAUUGCUGUAGCCAAAUGAUGCUUUUGUAGUUCAGUUAACAUCUGCCAAUAAUUGAACCCAAGAACAGUAUCCAUCAACAAUUCCAAAUUUACUUCCCAGAAUCAGUAUUAAACUAAACAACAAGGCCUUGCAUCCUCUAAGACAGUUUAUUAAAUUCAUUUACAUAUAAAAUUUAUACACUCUGCAAAUGUAACUGAUAUAUGCUGGCAUAAUUCCUGAUGUUUCAGUGAAUUAGAAACAAAAUGGGGAAGGAACAUUUACUGAAAAUCUUCAGUAGGGGUUUGUGUUUUCCACUGGGCAUUAAUAUUACAAAUAUGUUGUCUUGGAAAUGAAUCUGAGUUGUGCAGGCAGCAUUUCUUUGUAAGAACCUUGUAACUCAAACUUUCAAAAUUCAGCUUAUAUAAAAAGAAUGUGAUUUUUUCUAAGAUGAUCUUCCUCCCAUGGCAAAAUAUCAUUCAUUGCAUUAUAAGAGUUUUAUUCAAUGAGAAUGGAGAAAUAUUUCACUCAUUGACCAAAAUUGGGCAAGAAUUCAUUAUAUGUAAGAAUUUUGUCUCUUUAAAUAUUAGACAUCUCAUAUGUCAAUAUCAAAAUGCCACUUCACCCAAACUUGCUACUACACAGAAUUUUCUCAGGAAAAGUAUUUAUUGGAGUACUUAUGGAAUGGUAAUGUUCAACAUAUGAAAUAUCAGUACAUGGCUCCAUAUUUGGAGUCAUAUAAACUGUUUUAAGAAUUCAGUUCUUAAAUUUCAACUCACAGUAAAACAUGUAUCAUUUGAAGAGGUUUGUUUUCACCUUAAACUCAACAUCUUGGGUUGGGAUCCAUCAAUAAUGUUUUCAGUGUGCCCUGAGGAAUGCUAGGGGGCUUCCAGAGCUCACCAAAAGGCCACAGUCAAGAGAGAAUGAGGUAGACUUCAAGCCUCCCCCAGCUCCUAUCCUGCAGAGAAACUUCUUCUUUUUGUUCUAUGUGAUUUCCUCUUAACAGUUUUGCUAAAGGAAGGUAAAUGUUGAGCAUGUGGUAAGUGCUUAGUAAACGUUUUUCUUUUCUCUUGUCCCUCCUUGUCCCAACCCCAAAUCUAAUAUGACUUUCCCAACCCAGAUAUUUCUAUCAGCAAUCAUACUUUACACCUAACAAUCUUUGAUAUCUUGGCUUCCACCUAAGCUCUUCCCUAUCUGCCUCCCAUAGCCCUUCUUCACUAAGUCCCAUUGGUGAUCUUCCAUGUGUCUCAAAAUCACCCCUUCUCUCCAUUCCUUCUACCACGGUGUUCCAACACUGUCAUGCAGGAA